GACAAGCAUAUGACUACUGGCAGGAUCAACCAGGUAGCACGUCCUCUUUGACAUCCAGUGUCGGUAGUUGCCCGCCCAUCCACUUGCGUGGCAAGGCAGAGCCAACUACCGGGCUAGUUGUCGCAAUUGAGCGGGCCUAGCUCGUCCUACUUGUAUGAGGAUCGGCACAGUAUGUUGCGUAAUCCUACCACUAACUGUGGAGAGGUAGAGGCAACACAUGUUCCGGUUGUUCUCAAAUUCGGAGAGCGUUAUUAGGGUCAGGCCGAGGCAACCAAUAAGGGCCACGAGCCUAUAUCAUGAGCAACAUCCAAAACCAACAGCGAGAGCGAGGCUACCUUGAUAGCACCAGGCACAAAAACAUGCCGGACCAAGAGGUAACGCCGCAAGCGCCAUAUGGCCGCAGUAGCACACCCAAAGGCGUCCACCGCGAGUCAACUUUGUAUGAAGCACCACUGCCCGUAGGUCGGGUAACAUCACGCAAGCACCUGAACGGAAACUGUAAGAUAUCUCACACGAAUGAGAAGACACGGCGCCAAUAGUCGGCCGCACAAAGACGGGGGACCUACCAGCAGACACGGGUCCAAAACAGCUCAUGCGCUCGCGUAGCCA
rnacentral:misc_RNA from 1 species